GGCAUAUUUAGCUUUGCUAGAGGAUAUUGCUGCCCGCUCCUUACGGAGAGUUGUUGCCCGCUGACCAGGAGGUGACCGAGGAUAUGGUCUGAAAACCUGGCUGAUGACCCCACUUGCCAAUCCAGAAACCCCUCAGGAGGAAUGCUACAAUGACAUUCAUGCCCACACGCGCUCUGUGACAGAACACACCAACGGUCUGCUCAAAGGCCGUUGGAUGUGUUUGGACGCAGCCAGGGGCAAGCUUCUGUAUACCCCUGAGAAGGUGUGCAGGAUCAUUUUGGCCUGCUGUGUCCUACAUAAUAUUGCAGUGGCUUGUGGCAUUCCUUUGCCACCUGGACCAGAACCGCUGCUGGAUUACAUGCCAUGUGACGCACAGCUGAAUGCGGGACCUCCUGGUAGGGCUGCGCUCCAGGCUCGCCAGCAGUUAAUUCAACGAAUCUAAUGGCCUUCCACCAUGUCCCUCAUCACCUCGAGGAUAGCCACCUGGUUCUGGAGAAUGUCGUUGGUCAGGACCCGGGCGGGUGGCCUGCGGGAUUCUGCUGGCCUGCCAGUCUGGGAGGUCGAUUCUGUGGAUGUAUUUGUUUGAGAGGUCGACGGCAUGACUGCUGGAUUUGUUUGAGAGGUUGAUGGUGUAGAUGCAAGAUUUGUUUGAGAGGUUGAUGUAGAUGCAGUAUUUGUUUAACAGGUUGAUGUAGAUGCAGUAUUCGU